rnacentral:rRNA from 1 species
AGCUGGUGAGCGUGGUUUAAGGCAUGGUUAUAACGGUCGUCCGUGCGGGUUCGCUUAACUGCGGGUCUCUGCCCUCGGGUGGGGAUGCUGGGGUACUUGUCAAGUACUACGCGCUCGUGAUGGUUCACCGGGCCGGCUUGCCAGUGCACUUUCUCGGAGUAGUCACCACGACCGGCGCUGCCGCUAGGCUGCUGGUGUUAAACCUGUCGUGUAUAGUCAUUGUGGCUUUAUGCGGUGGGGACGGCAGGUGACUCGUUGGCUUCGCCAUCGAGUGUUAUCAGCUGACAUCAGUGGUACUGUGCGGUGUGUCGGAGACGGCGGCUUGUGGUGUGUACGUGUGUGCCUGUUCGCUGACAGUGUCGGGUCUGGUUGUCAUGUGCUUGUAAAAGCAGGCCUGAUGAUGGCUCG